UAAUACGGAGGGUGCAAGCGUUAUCCGGAUUUACUGGGUUUAAAGGGUGCGUAGGUGGGUUGGUAAGUCAGUGGUGAAAUACUUUCGCUUAACGAAGGAACUGCCAUUGAUACUACCAGUCUUGAAUACAGUGGAGGUAAGCGGAAUGCGUCAUGUAGCGGUGAAAUGCUUAGAUAUGACGCAGAACACCAAUUGCGAAGGCAGCUUGCUACACUGUUAUUGACACUGAGGCACGAAAGCGUGGGGAUCAAACAGGAUUAGAUACCCUGGUAGUCCACGCCCUAAACGAUGAUUACUCGAUCUCAGCGAUACACUGUUGGGGUCUAUGUGAAAACAUUAAGUAAUCCACCUGGGGAGUACGAUCGCAAGAUUG
rnacentral:rRNA from 1 species